ensembl:lncRNA
CGGGAGUACAGUUAGUUUUCGUUUAGUCAAAAAACCCUCGUGCUCUACAGUUCGCGGCACCCCAGUGCGCAUGUGUAUUUCCUAUUAGGUGUAGUAACGUAACACUGCCGUAAUGCAUUACUGCUUAGUAACAGCACAGUAACUAAUAUAAACAGAUGUAGAUCCCAGAUACUACAGUUUUAACGUUUGUCACUAAUCGGAGGUUUGAUUCUGAGAUGAGUUGAGCUAUGUAGGGUAUGUCUGCAUUUACUUUGGCUUUCCUUCUUCAUUGGAUGAAUGCUUUCAGAAUUACAGAUUUCAAAGCAAACUAGUCCUACUACUACCACUGUAGAUUCAUUUUCUCUCCGAAAUAGGCUGAAUGUCUGUGAUUUGUUAUUGUAGCACUUGUUUUAAUGCCUAUAAAUGUGCUGAUAAUAUAUGGGACAAGGUGUACUUGUGAAUAUAGGGCAGGUCCUAGCCUUUUGGGGGCCUGUCAUGACAAAUAAUGUCCCCCUCCACGUCACAAUGGGAUUACAUGAGUCCCAAUUUCUGUUGCUAGGGGUGUUGCUAGAACUUGCAACAUUAUGAUCUGUUUACUUAAUGAACCAACGCGUCCGUUACUAUGCUGGUUGCUCGGCUACCUUGUAGAGGUAGGAGGACGCAGGAAGUUAUUUUUCACCUCAGAAGCGCUUGCUCAGUAGCAAGCGGUAAAUUGCCGCUUAGGCCGGCCAGAGUGGCUCGCUUGUGGGCAUGCUGGCCUCAUAUGGGAGCAUAUAGCAACACCUUCAGUUGUGCGUCAAGAAUUGAGCAUAGCAAGUCUGGUAUGGAGGCCUGGUUAUGAAAAGGGAUGUUAAAAGGAUGUGGUCCAACAACACAGCAAGAGAGGCAGUCCGUGUGUGGGAGAUCUUCACCUACUUCUUCGAAGAGGGUGUUGUUCCCUGAAGUCAUCUUGAGUGACCUAGAACUCUGGAACAAGUCUUACUCUCUGCAGAGAUGAGGAACCCUCCAUGACACAAUACCAUCAGAAAUCCAUGAGAAAACAUAUUUUAUUCUUGUUUUCAUGCUGGGAACCUGGCACCAUUUCCAGUCCUCGUCCUGGGUCCAGGCCUUCGAAGGUGUCCACACUCUACACAGAGGUCAGCGUCCACUGCUUCUGUCAGAAAUACGUGAGAAAAGGUAAGAAGGUGGCCCGGUGCAGGAGAUGCGGCAAGCAUUUUCAUGUGUCUUGUUUGUCUCAUGUUGUCAAUGUGCAUGAAUUUGUCUGUUCAUCGUGUCUAUCGUCUGUUAUCUGUUUUGUCUGUUUUCCCCACCCCUUCCACUGCUUGGCCGGCUCCCCACCUCAAGAUGGUAGGUAUUUUACUACAUUGCAUCUUGUUGUAUAUUAUAUGUUAUUGUAAAUAACCUGUUAUACAAAUUUAAAACAAUAUUACAAAGAUGUUUUUUUGCAGACAUUGGCUGUGAAGUUGGUAAGUAUAUAGAAUAUGUAUUUGUCUUGUAGUCCAAGUAACAUUUACAAGUAUGUAAAUAUUUGUAUAUUUUUCCAUUUGUUUGCUGGCAAAUAUUUGAAACUUGUUAGCUGACAUGGCUAAUUGAGUGACUGUCAGUGACUGACAAAGAUCUUGUGUAAUUCUACUAUUUUAACUCUCAACAGUAAGUUGAGACUGAGUUUCUAUUUUUUUAUAGAUUUUUUGGGGUCAGGCCCUAAGCGACUGUUUAUCAAAUGUUAUUGGUCACAUACACAUAUUUAGCAGAUGUUAUUGCCUGUGUAAACUACUGUUUAUAUACUGCUUUACUCAUCUCAUAAAGCAGUAUGUAAACAUUAUUAAAGUGACUAGUGAUCCGCUCCUUUUUUUCCAAUUUUCAUUUAAAAUGACAUACCCAAAUCUAACUGCCUGUAGCUCAGGACCUGAAGCAAGGAUUGUAUUCUUGAUACCAUUUGAAAUAAAACACUUUUAAGUUUGUGGAAAUGUUAAAUUAAUGUAGUAGGAGAAUAUAACACAUUAGAUCUGGUGGCUUAUUUAACAGCCCGAUGGCCUUGAGAUAGAAGCUGUUUUUCAGUCUCUCGGUCCCAGCUUUGAUGCACCUGUACUGACCUCGCCUUCUGGAUGAUAACGGGGUGAACAAGCUGUGGCUCGGGUUGUUGAUGUCCUUGAUUAUCUUUUUGUCCUUCCUGUGACAUUGGGUGCUGUAGGUGUCCUGUAGGGCAGGGUAGUUUGCCCCCAGUGAUGCAUUGGGCAGACUGCACCACCCUCUGGAAAGCCCUGCGGUUGCGGGUGGUGCAGUUGCCGUACCAGGCAGUGAUACAGCCCGACAGGUUGUGCUCAAUUGCGCAUCUGUAAAAGUUUGAGGGUUUUAGGGGCCUGUGUGAAUGGAUUGUUUUGGAUCUCAGACAGAAUGGAUGGAUUGGGGUGUUUUAUUUGCUUAGAUAAAAUAUAGAACCGUUUGUAAUUUAAACCCACAAAGAAUAGAUUAAUGUUCAUUCUAACAGAAAUUCAUUACAUGUGUAUACUGCUAUGGUUAGUUAAUUUGAUUUUUUUAAAUGAGAGAGUAAAUUGAAUUGAACACAAUUUGGCAGCGAUGAGACCAUAGAGUCUUCUUGGGUAUGAUGCUACAUUUUUAUUUAUUUAAUACAUUUUAGAAUAAGGCUCUAAUGUAACAAAAUAUGGAAAAAGUCAAGGGGUCUGAAUACUUUCCAAAUGCACUGUAUUUCCAUAUUGGUUGUUAUUGUUCACUUAAUGAUCAUUCAAAUUAAAUUAUACAAUCCAUAUUGCUUGUCUUGGUGUUAAGGUUUAGUUUUUUUAGAAACACUUUACCGACAAUUCACUGAUAACCAAUAUCCGUUGCUGAUAUUUACUGAAGUACUGCUGCCACAUUGCAAUCAACUCAUCCAAAUCUGAUCAUUUGAUGUCCUACAUUAAGAACAAAUUAAGUUCAGCCAUGAUAAUUUAAUUAGAACUACAUGAAAUAAGGCUUCCCAUCCACUGUAUUAAGUGACAGCUCCACUUCUGGGAACCGCACCUUCGUAGUGACUUAUCAAAUUUCAAAUGCAUUGAUCUAAGAACUAGAUCCAUUAGUCCUAGGCUCUCCAACCCUGUUCCUGGAGAGCUACCUUCCUGUAGGUUUUCAAUCCAACCUCAGUUGUAACUAACCUCAUUAAUAUUAAUAUUAAGCAGGUAAUUAUUCCUACGUACAAAAUUAAUGAACGUGUUAAAUUAUUAUGUGACGUGGAGUCAUAUUCAGGUCCUGAUUGGUAAAGAAGAUUAUUUGACGUGUCAACUAGUGUUAUUUGACGUGUAUCUUUUAGACACGCAAAGAUCCAAACGGUGUUCCAUACUGAAUAGACAAGUGUAACGUUAGUGUUUGUAAUGCAAGAUUGAGGAGAAUCUGUCUCAUUAGAGAUCACUUUUAUUUUGGGAGUUUUCAAAAUAUGACCUUUUCAUUCAAGACAGGAUAAAUAUAUUGUUUCAGGUGAUAAUAAAACAUGUUUUGUUUAGUUACUUUUUUUCUCACAUCAACCUAGCUAAAGUUAGCUAGCUAAAAGCUAGGUUGAAUACACAACUGUAGCUAGUGACCUCCAUCACAAUGAACUUAAACGGGAGGCAACAGUCAUAUAAUAUAAUUGGCUUAGCAUUUAAUGUGUUAUAAUUAACAUUACCAAUAAAAUAGUACUCACUUAUAGUAAUUGUUUAGAAGUUGCUAGUAUGAGGAUUCUGUGUUAUGCACUAUAGCCCGUUACCAUAUACGUGAUUGAAUAUUAUCUGCUGUUGGCUUGUGUGGAUGUAUGUAUGUGUUAUGCAACAUAGCUGACUUGAAACAUUGUUAACAGUUUCAGGGCCAUGCGCCUUUCUCAUGAUGGAAAAAUACAGAAUAACAUAAAAACGGACACGUACAGAACGUAGUGUAGCAAACCACAGACUGUUUUGUUAGAACUCAAACUUAACAAUAACAGAAACCAGAUAUGUGAUAACGGUAUCUAGGGAAUGAGCGCAUAGAUACUCGACAGAGCAAGUUACAUCUAUCAACUGGAGUGCCCGGGGGCUGGCACCAGCUCGUACGACAACAAUCAACGAUAGGCUGGGUGAGUCUAAACCACGCCCAGUCUCUACUCUGACAGGCCGGCUCGGAAGCAGGAACUUUUUCUGUCAGAGUAUAUUUAUAAUAUCUUUGUCAAGAACAAGUUAGUUCUCUGUUUGCCCUGCGAAGUGGGAGAGAGAGCCCAUAUAUACAAAAAUUGCAUUUACCACUUAUUGCUUAGCUAAUAAAAAAUACAUAGUAUACAA